rnacentral:tRNA from 1 species
GCCGGGGUAGCUCAGCCGGUCAGAGCGCCAGGCUCCUCAUCUGGAGGCCGUGGGUUCGAACCCCACCCCCGGCA